UUAACCCACUGAGCAAGGCCAGCUUCGAACCCAUAUCCUGAAGACUAUGUCGGGUUCUUAACCUGCUAAGCCACAACAGGAACUCCAAGGAGUUUUUAAGUAGGACGAAUGCUUUCUCUCUGAAUCCCAUUUCCAAACUGGGUCACUCGGGAAUCACAAGAUGUUAACUGUAAAAGUCCAGCCUCCAUGCUGCCCCACAGCCAUACACCAUGGGUCUGGGAAGCCCCCUAUAGGGCUUCAGCGUAUCUGAAAACCUUCUAGCUUUCCACCAACACCACAGCCUGAGGAUUUGGUGACUGGAGCCUCACCAUCCAGACAAUCCAAAUGAAUUAGCUUGCUAAUUGCUUGGGUGCACGUUCAAUGUCUCUUAGAUAGGCUUUCAUUUUUGUUAAUUGUGCAUGUGUUUCCAAUGAAAAUUCCAAAUGUGCGUUGGAGCCCUCCACCCUUUUAGGGAUGCUCACCAAUAGCUUCCAUAGACCCUGCGUGCAUGUGCUGACAUUCCAUGUGCAACACACACUGCCCAGACAUGCAUAUUGAUGCUGUGCCUCUGUGGGCAGUCUCCCCUCUCCCGCCAAGCCUCCUAUUUCCAUCUUCGCCUUCCUGGAAGCAGACUUGUCUAGGCUUGCCUAAGCCCAUCCCUGUGAUCCUAGGAUGAUGCGGGCUGCUAACACCCAGCGGCUCCCUGGUACCAUUCUGUUAAGCGUCAAGUCCCCUUCAAGGAAAUUAAACCCAAAGCCUCUGGCCAAGAAUUACCAGACCCUUAUCAUCACCCCGGGCAUCUCAUUGUAAUGCCCCUUCCCCUACCCUGAGCGAUGGGACCUAGCAGUCAGAACAAUGAGGAACUCUCCAGGGAAUAUUCCUAUCACCUGUUCCGCAUGCAAAUGAGGUAUCCCGCCCCAGACCAAUCAGAAGAUCAAAUAUGCUCCCGGCAAAGACCAAUCAACACUCAGCCCUUAUGCACCCGGAAGUGGGCGGGGGCAGGAAGAAUCAGGUCUCCACUCAGGUCCCCCAGCUCUGGGAUGCAAAACCCAAUUGUAAAGGGGGACGGGUGCCUACUUGAGGGGUGGCCCACUCUCCGAAAAUGUACUUUUAAUAAAUUUGCCUGAGAUCAUGCCCACUGUUUCAAUUCCUUCCUGUGGCGGGUGCAAAGGGUGCCACGGAGGAAACAAUGCAACCGCAAUAAUUCCAGACGUUAAGCUGGGUCCUGUCCAGAGCUGCGCCAGUGAGAGCCCAGCAGCGUCGGAAGGGUGACAGCGGCCACUCUGUCCUCUCUGUCCUGAGGAGCAGCCUUUGAGGAACAAGUCAAGAUCCUGAGGGCCUGGUUCGGUCCAAGGCAGCCUCCCUCGGCGCAGAGCCCCGAAGCCCUGACAUUCAUUCCGCCUCAGCUCCGUCUCUCCCCUCCUCCCCCUCCUCCUCCAGCCUCCACCUGAAAGGCCUAAUGGGGAGAAGACGAAAGGGAAAGCUUCCAGGUUCGCAGUUGCCUCCAGCCUUCAGCCGGUCUCCGGUGCAAAACCUCUCACCACAUCCAAGGAGAUUCUGGAGAGACAGCGCCUGGGAGAGCAGAUGCCCAGCCAGGGGACAAAGUGGCCGUGCAGCCACAGCCAGCACCCGGUCCUUGGAUGAGACCUGGGGGAGGGGACGGAGGCGAGGGCAGGCUAGGGAAGAGGGGGCUGAGACCCGCAA